AAUAUUUCUGCUGAAGUAUCAAGCAAAUAUUGUGUAGUUUCUGUUACCACUUUAAAUGCCUAACAAAUGAGACUAUUUAUCUUUGAAAACGAUGAAAGUUUGAAAUAUGAACUCCCCAUCUUACCCUAUCCAAUUUCUUUGCCCGAAAAGCCCAUUUUCUCCACCAUGUUCAUCCACGUGUUUCUAUUAUACAAAAGAUAUUCCCCUCCUGAAGCAAUACAAAGUCUCUUGCAGAUAGCGAUAAUUUUCAGAUACAUAUACCUUUUCCUCUUUCUCUCCUAUUUCUGUUUUGUUUGGGGUAAAAUCUUAUUCGAUAUUUUUUGUGGUGCGGUUUCUGUGUGGAAUCAAAUGAGCGUGACGAAUGGAUCUCAGUGGAUCAGCAUUGCCUUGGAUAGAUCAUCAAAUAAUCGCGCCUAAAAAAGAUCACUUGAGGUUCUACCGAGAUUUGAACUCGGAUCGUUGGAUUCAGAGUCCAAAGUGCUAACCAUUACACCAUAGAACCGCUUGGUGGUAACGGGUUGCUCAGAUCUCAAGGAACGAUGCAAAGCGUGACAUGAAAAGUUUAAUGAUCGACUGUGUAUGAGAGUGAAGUAUAAAUUAACAAUUUUCUCCUCUUUUAUUUUGUUUUGUUCAUUCGCAGACUGGGAAACGGAAGCGGUGGCCAAGGCGGAGAUCCUAAGACUUAUCUACCAGGGCAGAUUUCUGCACUGCAACGUGACGCUAGGCGCCCUAGGGUUACCAUUAGGCAAAACGACCGUGAUGCACUUGGUCCCACGUGAUAAUCUGCCCGAGCCAAAUUCGCAAGAUCAGCGGCAAAAGAGUAAAGGCGGUUCCAGUAGAUGUUGUUCCACUAGUUGUUGUAUAUUGUAACCAAUUUUUAUCGAGAGUACUAUAAAGAAACGCUACCACUAACUAAACAGAACACACACCCCCCUUCACGCACUCACGCAUAUUUACUAAAAAACGAAACUCAAACAAAACAAAAACAUCACGGAAUUAGCGCCGCCGGUCUACUGCGACUGACUAUACGGAGUCCUCUCGCGCGAAGGACCGGAUCCCCCAGUGCAGAAUGAUGGACGUAUUAUUAGUAGGCUCUGAUUUCUCCCAUUGAUCCCCUUUAUUAUUAGAUUUUUUUUUUGUUGCAUAGUUUGUCGCGCCUUAUUUGUUCAUCGACUCGUAUUAGUGGAAAUUUGUUCAGAUUUUUGUUUCUAGCUAUAUUUUAUAGUUUUGUGCAGUCUCUGCUGCCGCAGUGUACGUCAAAACUCCUCAUCGAGAGCAGCGGGGAGCACGCACGCAAAGGGCAAAAGUAUGAUAGAUUUACGGUUUUAUUAGUUUUGUAAGUGCAGCAAAGUUUUGAAUUGACGGUUCGAAAUAGUGAAGAAUAAGAACGACGGUACAUAUUUUUAGCGAAAAUUCUAUACAUAUAUACAAGGCAGGAGAAGUAGGCACACCGCGGAAAUAAGAGAAGCGAGGUGUGCGCUUACUUGAUGAGCAAAACGAGUAAAACCAGAUGAAAUUACUAGACUAUAGGCAAUUCGUUGAUCGUAUAGGUUCUAUAUAUUUUUCUCAGAUUAAGUAUUUUUACAAAAAGGUCAAGGAAAAAGGAAUGAAGGUGGAGAAGGUGUCCAAUCAUAAGCUUUCGCCCUUUAAGUUUCGACACUUUGCCGUUUAGCGCGCAAUCCUAUAAAAAAAUAACUCAAAAUUGUGGAAGCAAACCAUAGUGAAAAAAAGCAAACAAGAGCGUUUUAAAAAGAGAUUAUUUAAUGUAAACCAAAACGAAAAAAUCAUACACUAAAAAAGAAUCUAUUGUUAUCAAAAAACCGAAACAGAUCAGUUACUCUAGUUUAAUAACAAAAUUGUAAAAACAAAGUAAUGAAACACAGUUGAAAACAUUAAGAACAAACAGAUGAAGCCCAGAAAUAUCAAAAGCGCCACUUACUCACACAAACACAUCGAAACAAACUUGGAACAGGCACACACGCAAACACCUUUAUGCCGCUAGGCCGGAAGAAAAACAAUUCCUCAACUGAAGCUAACCACAAACGGUCGGAUUUUUUUGCAAUCUGACUUCCUCGUAUGUUUGUAGAAGAUCGGCAACACUGCCGCAUCAACAAUGAUUCGCGUUCUCGUGCGGUUUGGCCGCACGGCCCACAAUUUCUACGCAACGCCGCCGCCGUCAGGAUCUUCAAAUGUACAGUUUUAUACCGAAAAUUAGGUUCUGUUUUCACGCGCGGGAUAUGAAAGACCACUCGGAUCCGGGUCGCGAAAGAAUGAUGUGUUCACUGCACUGUAAGCAUAAAGAGCUAGAGUAAAACUUCGCCACCCCAUAUGCUGUUGCAAUCGAAGAUUGUGAAUUGUGUGAGACAUGUAACUACUGUCGCUGUCGUCGUCGUUUGUGUGUGUGUGAAUGUGAAUACUACUGUGAAACUCAAUGCAGAACUGCGUGUUUGUUGUUAAAGGAUAUAACUUUCCUUUCAGUAGCAGCCCUACCUAUUUCGCGUCACCCACCCCUACCUGAACUGUCAUCGUUGUAUCACCAAUACAUACUAACUUUUCCGGCUAUCUCUACAGUAUAAAUAGCACGUACACUCUGAUUGAAAGCUAGGUGAGGGCGAAACGUCAAACACUUUGUCUGGCAAAGAACUUAACGGAAUCCAGAUAGAACCCAGUGAGGUGGAUCCUUGGAAGCUUUUUGGACGGAAUCCUAAGAGGAUUCUGAGUGGAGUACUGAGAAGAUUCUUAACAGAAGCCUAAGAGGACUCUGAACGAAAUCUUGAGAAUAUUCUGAACGGAAUUCUGCGAGAAUUCUGAACGAAAUCCUAAAAGGAAUGUAAACGGAAUCCUGAUAAGAUUCUGGACAGAAUACAGAGAAGUUUCUCAAAGGGAUUCUGAGCAGUCUCUGAGGAUUCCAUACUGAGAGUGAUCUGAACGAAAUCCUGGCAAGAUUCUGAUCAAAAUUCAAACAGAAUUCAUGAUGGAAUUCUGAAAAGAUUGUAAACGGAAACUUCGACGGAUUCUGAACAGAAUCUUGGAAAUACCCUGAAUGGGCUCCUGAGAGAACUUUGAAUUGAUUUGUGGGAGAUUCUGAACGGAGUUCUGACUAAGGUUCUGACGUUUCUCUGUCCCGCAAACUCUCUAGUGUAUAAAUCCUUGUUGUUAUUCUUCCUCUCGCUCAUCUAAUUCAUCUAAAAGUACGAGUUACAUCAUCAAACAUGUCUGCCACGUGGCGCCUACUCUACUACAUAUUGUUGUUACCACUACUAUUCAGAGAGCUCUAUAUAUUUAUAUUUUUAUCUCGUGUAUAAUUCUAAACUAGUAGUAGUUCGACAAACAUUUACUUUUAGAGAUGCAUGCAUUCACUUUUUCAAUGCAGGGAAGAUACCUUAGGUCUGUUUUUCAACAUAAAAUAUCGCUCAAACCAGUUUUUUAUCUGAUCCCAUUCUUGUCAUAUCAUUUGUGUAACAUAUUUAGCGUUCCUUCCUCUCUCGAUAGAUCUUUGCUGUCAAAUCUGAUACCUGUCGUUCUGAAACAAAACAAUUGAGACAUCAAGAGACAUCAAGAGAUCUCUGGAUGCAACAGAUGGCACCACCGUAGCUGCUGCCUCAAUGAAUGUUAACGUUCACAUACAGUGGCGCCAUUGUUUUGAUGCGGCGAGUGUCGGAAAAGUUUGCUUCAAUAAGCGAUCAUCAAGUUCACUGCUGGGAUGUUCUUUUUCUUCGAAUUUCAAAACUAUUCAACAAUAGUUUUUGAUUAUUUUAUAUUCCAAGCGAUUUGAAAAUCAAUUUCUAGGGACUUCCUUGCCACAUACUUCUUUUUUAGGGAUGUUCAAAUCGCUUCAUUCAACAUUUGAAUUUGAUCUGACAGUAGAAGCACAGACAAACAGACGUAACACUUGCGAAGUUUCCAUAGACCACGCUUUUAGCGAUCAAUUUAAAUUCUUCAUAGUCGUGACUUUCACAAUUAGAGGGGCGCGCAUCGUUUUUCAUUGCGUUUGACGUUUCACACUAGCGCCUUCUGUUGACGAUAUUGCACAACGCAGUGUUUCAUUAAUCAUGAAGCAUUUCCACCAGGUGAUGGUAGUGCAAACUGGGCAAUAGAUUUUCACGAAAAUUGCUCUAGGUGUUACGUCUGUCUGUCUGUGGUAGAAGUUUACUCUUGACCAUAAUUUCGUGGCAAUCAUUCCCAUCCGCUCUCAUAUCGGUUUUCAUCGCUGUUAUCAUAGAUUGUAGUUUAAAUAAUCGUCUCUAUGCGUCAUUACACCGCCUCCAUACGACCGCCCACGAAAUCAUGUAGAAAAAGUCGUGCAUCAGCCACAAGUUCUACAUUCGGCGUACCAGUGUAGUUUAAGUUUCGACCAAGGGUCAUUGUUGAAGAUCAACGGCGGUGACGACGACUACACCAUUGAUCGACAAAUAGUUGAAGCAACAACUUCCUCCAAUUUUCUAGAGAAGAAUCUCCAACUUUUUAGAGGAGAAUCUCUAAUUUACAGAGAAGAGUAUCUCCAGAUUUCCGGAGGAGAAUCGCUUCAUAUUGCAGCAGUAGAAUCUCUCUGAAUUCCCGAAGAAAAAUUUGUCCGGAUUCCUGAUAGAAUAUCGUUCCGGAUUCUGGAAGUAUAAUCUCUUCAGUUUCUUAGAAUAAUAUCAUCGCUGAUUCCCAGAACAGAAUCUCUCUGGACGCUCAGAGAAGAAUCUUCCCGUUCUGGGGUCCAGAAGGAGGAGAACUCUUCCCUUGACUCUUCCAUAUUGCCGAAAGGCAACGAAAGAUUCACGAUGGACAAUCUCUCAGAAUCUUCUAAAUGAGAUACUCUCCAGAUUCCCUGAUCCUCCAUUCUUCCGAAUACCAGAGCAGGAUAAUCUUUCAAAUUUCCUGAGAAGAGCCUCUGAAGAUUCCCGGACUUCUCGCAUUCCCAGAGAAUCGCUCCGCAUUCUACAAAAAUAGUCAGCUAGCUUCCCGGAGGAAAAUGCCUUCAGAUUCGUGGGGACAAAUAUGAGAAACUCUUGAAUUAAUGCUAAAUUCUUCUCACAAAUCUCCACUCCAACCUAAAACACGUUCGAUUUUCCAACGAACGCCAAUAAAAUUUCAAUGUCACAAUUUGCUCCAGUGUUUAUCGCUACGCGCAGUGAAAAAUGAUGAAAACAGCAAAACAUAAACAAAAAAAACAUCCUGCGUCGGCCGGGAAUCGAACCCGGAUCAACUGCUUGGAAGGCAACUAUGCUGACCAUUACACCACCGACGCUUGCGUGAGCCACUUGGAAGCAAACGCUUCCAGAGAGCUGUAAAUUUAUUUUUUCUUGUUUUGCCAGCAGAGACUCUCUCUCUUGCGCUCUCUCCGCUCUUUUCUAUAUUUUGGCACCCUUCGAAUCGAAGUAGCUGUUGUCGAGCCGCGUCACCAUGGUAACUCUCAGUCGUUCUUCUGCUGUUCGCCCAAUCAUCAACAAAACAAAAACAAAUCCAAGUGAGCGAGUGCUAACUGUGCUAACAAAAGUGGUAUAAAAACAUCAAGCUUGUUUACGUCCGUUCGAGAACAUUAACAGUACUAAAAAAACGAAAACUCCUGUCUCUAUUUCUAAAAUCACACACAAACAAUGUAGAAGCAGUUGCAAACAGAAGAAUGAGAUCGUUAUUUUUAUCCUCACACGAUACCAGAGCAAUAGGCCGAUAGCAACAGAUUAGAUUCAAAGUAUUCAUAUAUUGUUUGCGCUUUUUAAAACUGAAUAAUGAGGAAAAAAAAUGAAGACAGUAAUCAAAACAGGAGCUUUAGUUUCCAAAGUAGGCAACCAGCAAAUUUAGAACGAAACAAAGUUAUACGGGAAGCCCAGUUGUAGAAAAGGGAUAGCUGAAAAUCGGGUUAUAAAGUUCGAUGAGAAAAAAAACUAAAACACAAGAGGCAAAUAUUUUUGUAUUUUCAUUGAGAAUUAAGAUAGAAAACUGCGAAAGCGAGGGAAGGCCGAAGAAGCGAAGGCGUCGUUAGUAGAAGGGCAGUGACUCUCGUAAGUGAAGCUGAACCGUGUAAAUAUUGUAAUUAUAGUCGUAAAUAAUACCUACAGUGUAUAAAAAAACCGCAGCAGUUGGUCGGAAAACGAGAGGAAGAAAGAUGGAAACUGAUCGGAAAAGUUUUACUCUUUGAAAGCAGAAGAAUCGAAACAUGAUACAUGCAGACAAACAGAAAACAAAACAUUCAGAAAAGAACUCAAACAGCAAACAAAAACCAACAGUUGUAUCGUCGGAAACAGUUGCAUUUGCAUCAAAUCCCCAUCAUCCUCAGUGCGAGAACUAAAGGUAACAACCUAACUAAAUAAAGAAAAAAAAACAUAUAUUAUUAGUUAUAUUAAAAAAAAUAAUUGUAAUAAAAAGAAUAACUGUGGUGCUUACAAACAGGAAGAGGAUCGGCGGGGAUGAUCCGCCCGAAUGCCAGCCGAAUGAUCUGCCUAAGGCGCGGUGUGGUGUUUCAGUGCCCCCCUCCCUGCCACCCUUCUUGACGAUGUUUAUUUUCCUAGUUUUUAGUGAAAAUCAGAUUUAGAGGAAGCAGAAAAAAUAAGGUUCUAUACUCUUGUGCGCAGGCAGGAAGGAAGGGCAGACGACUAACUAAACUGUUUGAUGGAACCGGGCAAAAGUUACGAAAAGAACCCUUAUAAAAAACCAACAACAAUGCAAUAACCAACCCAGAAACUACGAUUCCAAUACUCUUCUUGAACGCAUCUAGAAGAACAAAAGAAAGAAACUGUGUGAAAUUCGGAAGGAAGAGGACAAGGCAAGAGACAGUGCGCAGUAAUGCGAAACACAACAUAGAAGAAGACACGGGGCGUAGAAUCAACUGAUUAGAAAGAGAAAGGCAGAUAGCACCGCGCGCAGUUGUAGUAGUGGAAGGUAGUUAACGAAAGAAAGAGUAUUCGAUAACUAAUAAUGAUAUAGCUACUAUGUAUUUUAAAUGAGAAACAAGCGAAGGAUGUGUUAAGUGGAAGAAGCUAAGAAGUAAGAAUCAUAAACACAAAAGGAACUGCGUUUAGUGUGCUAGCGAUGUGAAGAAAAGGAGCGAAAUAAGCAAACAAAACCACAUCCAACACACACAUUCACCGUGUGUAAGCUAUUACGCAAAGAAGCAACAAGAUAUAGUGACAAAUUAAUUUAAAAUAAACUGAAAUGAGACAAACAAUACAGAGAAAAAACGUUGGAAAAAGUGAA